rnacentral:lncRNA from 1 species
CAACGAUCUUUAUAAAGUUGUUUGAAGCGUCUAUGAUAAACAGAGAGCAAAUUAGAAUCCAAGGAAGUUGACAUGUCAUCACUUCAUUUUUUUGCGCCUGCUCAUCAAUCUGAAAAACAAACCACAUUUGUUCCGGACCUGGAAUGCCUUCCGGACCUGGGAUCCUGCCUUCUGAUGGAGAUAAUCAAAGGGCUCUUUAUACUGUGCUCCUGUUUGGUGGCUUUACCAGCAACAUCCGAGAGGACUAUUACUAAGGUACAGCUGCUGACUGGGAGAAGGGAAGACACCAUAAAUGUACCUCAUACGGGGGAUUUCAGGCCAUCUCUGACACCAUCGUGACAGGAGUCAUCCAUUGUGACAGACUGGCCCUGUGACUGGCAGACUAGCCCACAAACACAAACUCAAACACACACACACACACACACACACACACACACACACACACACACACACACACACACACACACACACACACACACACACACACACACACACACACACACACACACACACACACACACACACACACACACACACAC